CCUACGGGAGGCAGCAGUGGGGAAUAUUGCACAAUGGGGGAAACCCUGCUGCCGCAACGCCGCGUGAGUGAAGAAGUAUUUCGGUAUGUAAAGCUCUAUCAGCAGGGAAGAAGAUGACGGUAUCUGAUUAAGAAGCCCCGGCUAACUACGUACCCGCAGCCGCGGUAAUACGUAGGGGGCAAGCGUUAUCAGGAUUGACUGGGGGGAAAGGGAGCGCAGACGGCAGUGCAAGUCUGGAGUGAAAGCCCGGGGCCCAACCCCGGAACUGCUGUGGAAACUGUGCGGCUAGAGUGCUGGAGGGGAAGGCGGAAUUCCUAGUGGAGCGGUGAAAUGCGUAGAUAUUAGGAGGAACACCAGUGGCGAAGGCGGCCUGCUGGACAGUAACUGACGUUGAGGCGCGAAAGCGUGGGGAGCAAACAGGAUUAGAGACCCUAGUAGUC
rnacentral:rRNA from 1 species